GCACUGAGAUUCUUCCCUUUCCCCAGGUGGCUCCUCUGAGGGCAGUUGUGGACCCUGCCCAGCUGGAUUCUUUUGCACAGCCCCAGGCCUCAGCUCCCCAACAAGAUCCUGUGCAGCUGGAUUCUACUGCCCUUCUGACCUCAGUUCCUCCAGUUCUGCAGAUUUCCUGUGCCCUCAGGGUCACUUCUGCCCAUCAGGAGCAACUCAUCCAACUCCAUGCCUCCCGGGGCAAUACCAGUCAAACCAGGGCUCGGCCAGCUGCCUUUCUUGCCCUCCAGGGUUCUACUGCCCAGAAUAUGGCACAAAAGAGCCCAGAUUGUGCCCAGCACAUACCUACUGUCCACCUGGAAUGUGGUCACCAUCUCCAUGUCCCCAAGGAACCUUCACUUCCAAGGACGCAUCGGGUCUCAAGGAAGAGGGUGACUGUUCUGUCUGUCCUCCUGGUCACUAUUGCAGAGGUGGAAGGUUGCAUGGGAAAUGUCCUGCUGGUUAUUACUGCCCAACUGGGACUUCUGAUCUGAUGCUACUAAGCCCAGGGGAGUCCCCGACCUUGUGCCCCAUGGGACAGCUGUGUGCAAAGAAGUGUCCUACAGGCUUUUACUGUCCGGAGGGCAGUGAAAUGCCAGCUCUGUGUCCAGCCCACACUCUCGGGGCUGCCCCUGGUGCCAAGCGGAAAGAGGACUGUGGGCCUUGCCCCGUUGGACGCUGGUGUAAAGCAGGUGACCCAACAACAUACCCCUGCCCUGAUGGCCACUACUGUCCUGGAGGGGCCCCCCAGGAGUGUCCAGAGCACACCUACCAGCCAGCAACUGGAGCUCAAAACAGAGCACAGUGCCAACCCUGUACCCCAGGCUACCAUUGCCCCUCCCCAGGUCUAUCUUCCUUUGAAGAUCAUCCCUGCCCUCCAGGUCACUGGUGCCCAGGUAAACAAGGUGCUUUGCUUUGCCCACCUGGCACCUUCCGAACAGAUCCUGGAGCUUCAUCAUGGGAAGAAUGUAAACCCUGUGCCCCUGGGCACUACUGCCCUGACCCAAGACUGACUGGCUUGGCAAAUGUUUUUGGGAUCCCCUGCAGAGCUGGCUCAGAAUGCCCAGAAGGGGCAGUAGGGGAGACCACGUGCAGGGCUGGCUUCUAUUGUGGACCCCAGACCGGAGACCCCUCACCUUGUCCCAGGGGCUACGUUUGUCCUGAAGGCUCUUCCACGUACACUGACCCAGAACAGCUCUGUAGAUUUCCCUACUACUGCCCACUGGGCAGCGCCCAUGGCCUACAAUGCCCCGGGGGCUCUGAGGCCCUGAACAUCAGUGGCCUGAGGGGCUCUGCGGAGGCCUGCUGCAGACUCUGUGAAGCAGGCACCUAUCGCAGCCUCGCCCAGGCUGCCCUACCCUGCCAGCCAUGCCCAGCAGGAUUCCGAUGUCCCCCGGGGAGUGAGAGUUACCUCAGACACCCCUGCCCAGCUGGACACUACUGCCCAUCCAUGACUCCCCUCCCCAGACCCUGCCCCCCUGGGACCUUUGGAAACAGUACUCAAGCCCAGCAGGUCAUGGAAUGUCACCCAUGUCCAGCUGGCACUUUCAGUCCUCUACCUGGUCAGACUGGCUGCUUCCCUUGUGCAAGCUCCUCCUUCUCCCCACCAGGUGCCUCCCACUGUACAUGCCAGGGCCUGAACCGGGCCUUCCAGAAGUCUGAUGGUUCCUGCAUAUGCUUGGCAGGAUAUGUGUCUUAUGAUGAGAGAGGCCAAGAGAGCCAUGAUAGCAACAGCAACCAAGAUUGUCAGCCUCAGGUAGUCACCAUUGAGCAUCUUGGGAAAGGGAUGGAGAUAAAGAUGGCUCCCCUGGGAAAGGAAUAGAGAUAAAGAUGGCACCUUCUCUUUGUUAUUUUUCUUUCUCACAGAAUUAAAGAAUAUUAAAAUGUAAAGGAAUCUUGGAGGUCUUCUAGUCUAGUGGGUCUCAAACUUUGUGGUCAUGGGGUUCUGUUUUUUAAAUUAUUGAGGAUUUCU
rnacentral:lncRNA from 1 species